CCUACGGGAGGGCAGCAGUGAGGAAUUUUCUGCAAUGGGCGCAAGCCUGACAGAGCAAUACCGCGUGAGGGAUGAAGGCCUAUGGGUUGUAAACCUCUUUUCUCAAGGAGGAAGAUCUGACGUUACUUGAGGAAUAAGCAUCGGCUAACCCUGUGCCAGCAGCCGCGGUAAUACAGGGGAUGCAAGUGUUAUCCGGAAUUAUUGGGCGUAAAGCGUCUGCAGGUGGAUAUUUAAGUCUUUUGUUAAAUCUCUGGGCUUAACCCGGAAACAGCAAAAGAAACUAUUUAUCUUGAGUAUGGUAGAGGUAAAGGGAAUUUCAAGUGGAGCGGUGAAAUGCGUAGAUAUUUGAAAGAACACCAACAGCGAAGGCACUUUACUGGGCCAGUACUGACACUCAGAGACGAAAGCUAAGGGGAGCAAACAGGAUUAGAUACCCUGGUAGUCCUAGCUGUAAACGAUGGAUACUAGAUGUUGCUUACUUUAAUUAGUACGUACAGUGUCGUAGUCUACGUACGUUAAGUAUCCGUCCGUCGGAGUAGUGCGUCGCGAAGAGUAGUAACGUACGAAAGUUAAAGUUAGUACGGCGUUGAGACGUUGCCGACGGACGACGACGAGGGAGGAGG
rnacentral:rRNA from 1 species